AGAAGAAGAAGAAGAAGAAGAAGAAGAAGAAGAAGAAGAAGAAGAAGAAGAAGAAGAAGAAGAAGAAGAAGAAUUGGAUAGCUGGAGGAGAGAGGAGUGCUACAAAGAUAUGGACAAAGUCAGAGUUACCUGGGAAGAGGAAAUCUCAAUUGAGAAAAUGUCAUCCUCAGGUUGCCUGUAGGAAAAUCAGUGAUUCACUGAACCAUCAUCAGAGAACCACAACUGAACAAUGUGCAGAGACUGAAAAAUUUGGGGACACUGAGUCCUGAAUGAAUGUCUUUAUCAAAACCUUCCAAAUGCCAUGUGAGCAGCUUUUCCAGAGUCCUGCUGCCGUGACUAACUCGCCAUGAAGGACCGUGAGCCAGAAUAAAC